UAGCCAAAUGCCUCGUCA
rnacentral:ncRNA from 2 species